rnacentral:rRNA from 1 species
GACGAACCGUGCAAACGUUGUUCGGAAUCACUGGGCUUAAAGGGCGCGUAGGCGGGCCAGCCAGUCUGUGGUAAAAGCCUCCAGCUUAACUGGAGAAGUGCCGUGGAUACUGCUGGCCUCGAGGAGGAUAGGGGCAUCUGGAACGGUCGGUGGAGCGGUGAAAUGCGUUGAUAUCGACCGGAACUCCGGUGGCGAAGGCGAGGUGCUGGGUCCUUUCUGACGCUGAUGCGCGAAAGCCAGGGGAGCAAACGGG